CACGGUCAUUUGUGGUGCUGGGGGCUUCCCCUCCCAGGGGGCUCACUGCGUGGCUGCUGGCUGGGAGGCCUCAGUUCCUCACCUCAUGGACCUGCCCGUAGGACUGCUUGAGCAUCUUCAUGACACAGCAGCUGGCUUCCCCUGAAACAAGUGACCCAGGAGGAAUGCAAGCAGGGAGCCAAAGGGACUUUGGUGACCAGAUCUCUGAAGUCAAUUGUGCUCGAUUCUAUUGAUUAGAAGUAAGUCCAACUCAUGGCUCCACCUCCUAAAAGACGUAUGGAGAAUGUGCGAGACUGGGAGACUCCAACAUGGAACCCAUCCAAAGGCCUCUUGGUACCUGCACUGGAGGGAAAGCAAAUCUCAGCCUGAGCACUGCUCUGCUUUGCAGUCAGGGCUAUAUUCACGCUCCCUGGCAGUCCCACUGUGUGUCCCUCCUAAGUUUCCAUUCCAUUUCUUCUCGGGUGAAUAAUCACAAUUUCUUCUCCUUCCUCAAACGUGCAACACUCUCCCUUACCUGCUCCUCUGUCCACCUGCAUCUGUGCCUCCCCAUCUCCUCUCUUCCCGCCUGCAGGGUGGAAUCACUGUCUCCUCUCAAAGCUUAGCUCCUCCAGCCUCCUCUCCCUUCUUGAUUUCUCAGUCACCGCUUGUCCGUGUUUCCUGUUUUUCAUUCUGUCUUUCUCCCCCCCCCACCCCCCACCCCGGCUGAGCUGGGGCUCAAACACAGGGCCUCAAACAUGUUAGGCAAAUGCUGUCCCAGGAGCCACAUCCCAGUCCUCCUGGUUUCUCUUUCUUUUCUUUUUGUCUUUUCACUGGAGGGUCCACGGGGCAGGGACCUUAUUCUCUACACGUGGAACGGGCCUGGCUUGCCAGGGGCAAUCAAUAAAUGAGUGAAUGAAUGAGGGGAGGGAAAGCACCCAUUCGUCAGGAAGGAAGAAUGAGCAGGCUGAGCAGUGUGAGUUUUGGUCCCAGGGAUUGAACUCAGGGCCACUUAACCAAUAAGCCACACCCCCAAACCUUUUUGUGUUUUAUUUAGAGACAGAGGCCUCCUUUACUCAGGGCCUCGCCAAGUUGCUGAGGCUGGCUUUCAACCACUGAUCCUCCUGCCUCAGCCUCCCACACGGCUGGGAUUACAGGCGGGCGGCACCUCCCUAAAUAUCUUAAACCAGGCAAGAAGACUCCGAAGGGAAGAGGUGACUUUUAACUCAUGGCUGUCCCUGGUACUUGUUCCUUUGCUCAACACACGUCCUGUAAAUGUGAGCUGAUUGGCCUGCUGCCAGCUGAUUGCCAAGGCCACACAAGCCCUGGCACCUUUCUUUGUGCUGUUGUUGGGUGACCCACCGUGCUUCCCCUGGAUCUGUCCUUGGCGUGUCUGGGCAGGCCUCCCCAGCUGGCUGCCUGCCCCCUGCAGAGGGGAGAUACAUCAGCUUCCUGUCCCUGCUCUGCCCUCUGAGGACACCCGGGCU
rnacentral:lncRNA from 1 species